GAUGAACGCUGGCGGCGUGCCUAAUACAUGCAAGUCGAGCGAACGGACGAGAAGCUUGCUUCUCUGAUGUUAGCGGCGGACGGGUGAGUAACACGUGGAUAACCUACCUAUAAGACUGGGAUAACUUCGGGAAACCGGAGCUAAUACCGGAUAAUAUUUUGAACCGCAUGGUUCAAUAGUGAAAGACGGUCUUGCUGUCACUUAUAGAUGGAUCCGCGCUGCAUUAGCUAGUUGGUAAGGUAACGGCUUAUCAAGGCAACUAUGCAUGACCGACCUGAGAGGGGGAUCGGCCACACUGGAACGUAGACACGGUCCUGACUCCUACGGGAGGCAGCAGAAGGGAAUCUUCCGCAAUGGGCGAAAGCCUGACGGAGCAACGCCGCGUGAGUUAUGAAGGUCUUCGGAUCGUAAAACUCUGUUAUUAGGGAAGAACAUAUGUGUAAGUAACUGUGCACAUCUUGACGGUACCUAAUCAGAAAGCCACGGCUAACUACGUG
rnacentral:rRNA from 1 species